UCCUACGGGAGGCNAGCAGUGGGGAAUUUUGGACAAUGGGGGCAACCCUGAUCCAGCAAUGCCGCGUGAGUGAAGAAGGCCUUCGGGUUGUAAAGCUCUUUUGUCAGGGAAGAAACGGUGUGAGCUAAUAUCUCAUGCUAAUGACGGUACCUGAAGAAUAAGCACCGGCUAACUACGUGCCAGCAGCCGCGGUAAUACGUAGGGUGCAAGCGUUAAUCGGAAUUACUGGGCGUAAAGCGUGCGCAGGCGGUUUUGUAAGACUGUCGUGAAAUCCCCGGGCUCAACCUGGGAAUGGCGAUGGUGACUGCAAGGCUAGAGUUUGGCAGAGGGGGGUAGAAUUCCACGUGUAGCAGUGAAAUGCGUAGAUAUGUGGAGGAACACCGAUGGCGAAGGCAGCCCCCUGGGUCAAAACUGACGCUCAUGCACGAAAGCGUGGGGAGCAAACAGGAUUAGAUACCCUGGUAGUCCACGCCCUAAACGAUGUCUACUAGUUGUAGGGUUUUAAUUGACUUG
rnacentral:rRNA from 1 species